UUAAACCAACCUAAACAUAUCCUACUGCUCAUAUUACGUUACUGGUUAGCCACCCAAAUCAACGGCCCAGAUCCAAUGUUCUGCCGAGCAGACGCGUCGUCUGCCCAAUCUCCUAGCACUCCCGCGUCCACGAUCCCGCGGCCUGGCCCGCAACAGCCGAUGGAUUCCACCCGAAUCACGCUAAUGACAUCGGUAUCCCUAAUUUCUCGCCCCAUACCCACAAUCCUUUUCUUUCUCUCCCCAAUCGUGCUGCCCUCCCAACCGCCCCGCCCUAUCGCCUCCACGCGAGCCCAUCGCCGCCGCACUCUCGUGACUCCCCCAUGCGAGCCCAACUCCGCUGCCCUCCUGUGCCGCCCCGACACUUGCCACCGAUGGGGCGGCUGCGCGCGUGCCGCCACCAUCUCCGCCGCCUCCGCGAGACGAGGCCGCCACCAUAAGCUCCAGUCCGGCGCACUUCCCCGCCCGUGUAGGUACUCUUUCAUCGGCCGUGGUGGUCGCUGCCGCCGCGCUCCAUCUACUGCCCUGGAUCCGGGCGGCGGCAGAAGCUGCCCCGGCCUCCACGCCUCCACAGGAGGAGGAGGAAGAAGGCUUGGAUUGGAGUACCUAUACAUACAAGUUACAAUGGGCCUGACGGGGUAAAGGGGUCUUCCGUUGAUGUUUUCAAAUCUGCAACAAGCUUGUUGUCUUACCCCCCGUGAGAUGCAGUUUAAUGACCUUGUACAAAGGUGUCCCAAAAUGUGAGUAACAUCUCCAUAUCAUUGAGUCUGAAAAACUACUGCACCAUCUUUAUUAGGAUUUUAUUAAUUUUAUUCAUCAGUGAUACAGGUAUAUAUAGAUGCUCUGUUCUGCCCUCAACUUUUGCUUCUUUUUGCUUUUUAGUUGGUUGUCAUCUGGCAAAGUAUGCUUAUUUAUUUGGCUUGCAGCCAAUAUUCUAUUGCUGAUAUACAUUUUCCAGGUAUAUUUGGUUGUAAUCUUUUAUCUGCUUCUUCUCUAAACUGAUAAUGAUAAGUUAUGUUCGCCGCACUUCGGCCGCCACCGUCAACGCCGUUUCAAUGACGGCGGCCUUGGCGCCGGAGUGUGGGAGCUACUUCUCAGCCUUGCUGGGGUCGACGGCGGCGACCCAGUUAAGUUACAACACUAUGUGUAUUUCUUAUUUUCUUAUGAGAUAAGGUAAAACUUCUGUCCAGCGUGCAUGGUAUCUGAGACUGAGUGUUCCACAUUAUUCUCAAUCUUCAAUUGUUGUUGUCUUUGCAGAUCAUUAACUUUUGGUGCGUUCAUUUGUAUCAAGUGUUCUGGAGCUCAUACAAGCCUGGGGGUGCACAUUUCCAAGGUGAAAAUGGUGCAGAACACACUAGAUAUGAGGCAUUUCUUGGAAAUUACACAAAGCCUUUACAAGAUUGCUCAGCGGAUGACCGAAAUGAUUUUAUAAGAGGGAGUUGCUUAUACUCCUACAAAGACCAGAACGGUGGUGGUUGUGCUGGUGAGGGAUGCAAUGUGAUAAAAAGUGGAGAUGCAUGUGUUGUUUUGCGGUGUGUCCUUUGUUUGGGAAAUCAACAUUGUUGAACAGGUUGCCAGGAACUUAUUCAAAGGAUUGCAGUAGUUGGGAUCACAAAGCGAGCUUUGUCGGGCCAAAGGGAGAUCGGAAACGUGACCAGGGUCCUGGUAUGAUGUGCUCGUAAUAAGAAGAUAAUGACAUGUGGCGAGGAACAGUUUGACGGUGUUAAGGGAGUAAUUAACUAGGCAUAAUAGUAUAAUACUGCAGGUGUGCAGCUAAGACCAUUUUUGUCUAAUCUAACAUAAAUCCUUAGCAACUGGAUCUGGUCACUAUGGAUGGAGAAAAUUGAUUGUAUUAAAAGUGGUGGUGCUUUUUAUGUUGUGUCAAACCCGAGUGGUACACUUGGUCUACGUGGACAAAUGAGUGCAGUAAUACUGCUUAAUGCAAGUUA